UUGUCCCAAAUCCAUAUCAUGUUUCAGUCUGAAACCUAGAAGGUGGCUAAGCAAAGCAGCCUUCUUUCCUUUAGUUUAUUGCAAAUAACAUCCAACCAACUCAUCUGCUGUAACAUAUCUGUGCCCGAAUCUUAAGCGCUUCUUCGCCUUUUACAUAAAAAUCCCAGUAACUCCUACUCCAUCUUUUUUCCUGCUCUUUAAAGUUUGACUGCAAAGUUCUUAACAGUAAAGACCGAGAUAAAGCUGCAUAAGAAGAAGUUUACUAUAAUAUUUUAAUGGCUCAUGAUACCUCUUCUGUUGCUGAAUCACCUCGAUGGCGUUCUGGUCUUCUGCGAGACCAGGUGCAGUUGACUAAAAGAAAGGACUGUGAUCGCUAUGAGAUUGUUCCAAUCAAAGAUAAAUUGUCCUUUGAGAAAGGUUUCUUCAUCGUAAUUUGUGCAUGCCAAUUAUUGGCUCAAAAGAAUGAUGGAUUGAUUUUAGUUGGAGUAGCUGGACCGUCUGGAGCUGGAAAGACUGUUCACAGAGAAGGUUCUCAACUUUAUGCCUAGCAUAGCUGUCAUAACCAUGGACAACUAAAAUGAUGCUAGCCGAAUUAUUGACGGGAACUUGGAUGGUAAAAUCUAAAAUUCUUCACAUUUUAGAAAAACUUUUAUAUAAGGCCAUCCCAUCAUUAAUUAUGUUGCUUUAUUUCUAUAUAUGAUAAAAAUGGAUGCCCCCCGAUAUUGCUUUCUGACAUUGGAUGAUUUGCAGCAAGAUAUGCUUUUGGGAGCUUUUAUGUUAAGA